rnacentral:tRNA from 1 species
GAGUAUGAUAUUAAUAGCUUUGCAAAAGCUAGGUAGGAUUUUGUUUUUUCCCGUACUUU